UACGUAGGGGGCUAGCGUUGUCCGGAAUCAUUGGGCGUAAAGAGCGUGUAGGCGGCUUGGUAAGUCCGCUGUGAAAGUCCAGGGCUUAACCCUGGAAAGCCAGUGGAAACUGUCAAGCUAGAGUCCGGAAGAGGUGAGUGGAACUCCCGGUGUAGCGGUGAAAUGCGCAGAUAUCGGGAAGAACACCCGUGGCGAAGGCGGCUCUCUGGGACGGUACUGACGCUGAGACGCGAAAGCGUGGGGAGCGAACAGG
rnacentral:rRNA from 1 species